UGCCCAGGGGACGUGGAUAACCUCGGGAAACUGAGGAUAAACCGCGAUAGGUCAUCACUCCUGGAAUGGGUAAUGACUUAAAUCUAUAUGGCCCCUGGAUUGGACUGCGGCCGAUCAGGCUGUUGGUGAGGUAAUGGCCCACCAAACCUGCAACCGGUACGGGCUCUGAGAGGAGGAGCCCGGAGAUGGGCACUGAGACAAGGGCCCAGGCCCUACGGGGCGCAGCAGGCGCGAAACCUCUGCAAUAGGCGAAAGCUUGACAGGGUUACUCUGAGUGAUUUCCGUUAAGGAGAUCUUUUGGCACCUCUAAAAAUGGUGCAGAAUAAGGGGUGGGCAAGUCUGGUGUCAGCCGCCGCGGUAAUACCAGCACCCCGAGUGGUCGGGACGUUUAUUGGGCCUAAAGCAUCCGUAGCCGGUUCUACAAGUCUUCCGUUAAAUCCACCUGCUUAACAGAUGGGCUGCGGAAGAUACUAUAGAGCUAGGAGGCGGGAGAGGCAAGCGGUACUCGAUGGGUAGGGGUAAAAUCCGUUGAUCCAUUGAAGACCACCAGUGGCGAAGGCGGCUUGCCAGAACGCGCUCGACGGUGAGGGAUGAAAGCUGGGGGAGCAAACCGGAUUAGAUACCCGGGUAGUCCCAGCUGUAAACGAUGCAGACUCGGUGAUGAGUUGGCUUAUUGCUAACUCAGUGCCGCAGGGAAGCCGUUAAGUUUGCCGCCUGGGGAGUACGGUCGCAAGACUGAAACUUAAAGGAAUUGGCGGGGGAGCACCACAAGGGGUGAAGCCUGCGGUUCAAUUGGAGUCAACGCCGGAAAUCUUACCGGGGGCGACAGCAGAGUGAAGGUCAAGCUGAAGACUUUACCAGACAAGCUGAGAGGAGGUGCAUGGCCGUCGCCAGCUCGUGCCGUGAGGUGUCCUGUUAAGUCAGGUAACGAGCGAGAUCCCUGCCUCUAGUUGCUACCAUUAUUCUCAGGAGUAGUGGAGCUAAUUAGAGGGACCGCCGUCGCUGAGACGGAGGAAGGUGGGGGCUACGGCAGGUCAGUAUGCCCCGAAACCCUCGGGCCACACGCGGGCUGCAAUGGUAAGGACAAUGAGUUUCGAUUCCGAAAGGAGGAGGCAAUCUCUAAACCUUACCACAGUUAUGAUUGAGGGCUGAAACUCGCCCUCAUGAAUAUGGAAUCCCUAGUAACCGCGUGUCACUAUCGCGCGGUGAAUACGUCCCUGCUCCUCGCACACACCGCCCGUCGCUUCAUCGAAGUUGGUUCUUGGCGAGGUGGUGCCUAAUUGGUACUAUCGAACCUGGGGUCAGCAACGAGGGAG
rnacentral:rRNA from 1 species